UUAGAACUUAAUUGAUUUACCUUGUACUGUAGUUUCAUGGCUUUAACAUGUAACUCUUGAAAGGCAUCCAACAACAAGUCAUAUUUCACUUCUAUAAGCUCACUUUCAAAGUCAUUAUCGUUGUCUUCAGAAUGCACAGAUCCUGCUCAACACUAUGAUCAUCAUCACUUGAUGUACCAUCAUCAUUGUUCUUUCAAGCAAUGUAAGCCUUUUUCUGCUUACUUCUCCUAUUGUCCUGUCGAUACUUGGUGUCAGCCUUCUCUCUGUUUUUCAACUAUGAACAUUCGGGCUUUAUGUGACCAUCUUUAUUGCAUUCAUAGCAUGUCACAAUGUUGUUCUUGGAGUUCUUCCUCCCUCAUUUCGAGUAACCUGCAUGGUCAGUUGCAACAGUUUUAAUUUUCAUGAAUUUAGUAAACUUCUUGACCAUCAUAUUCAUGACCUCUUUUUCAGGUAUCUCUGCAUCAGAC
rnacentral:lncRNA from 1 species